rnacentral:SRP_RNA from 1 species
UUGUGCUAGGCGGGGAGCUAGCGGUGCCCUUUAUCCCGAAAUCCGCUUAACGCGGGGCUGAAUUCCCUCCAGAGGGUUUUGAGCUGGUAGCUGUUCGUUAUUCCGAUCGGCCGCCGCGCAACAGACGAUCAUGAACUUCGUCAGGUCCGGAAGGAAGCAGCGAUAAGUGAUACCGUCUGUGUCGUGGAUUGAUGCCGAUCAAUUUAAUAACUUACACUAUUUCAGAGAGAAACUCGACGGAGGGUGCACAA